AACGAACGCUGGCGGCAUGCCUAACACAUGCAAGUCGAACGAGACCUUCGGGUCUAGUGGCGCACGGGUGCGUACCGCGUGGGAACCUGCCCUUAGGUUCGGAAUACCUCCCCGAAAGGGGCGCUAAUACCGGAUAAUGUCUUCGGACCAAAGAUUUAUCGCCUUUGGAUGGGCCCGCGUUGGGUUAGCUAGUUGGUAGGGUAAAAGCCUACCAAGGCGACGAUCCAUAGCUGGUCUGAGAGGAUGAUCAGCGACACUGGGACUGAGACACAGCCCCGACUCGUACGCGAGGAAGACGUAGGGAGUAAUAUGCAAUGGGCGGAAUCCUGAACCAGCGGGGCGACGUGGGUGAGGAAGCGGUUAGGGUUGUAAAGCUGUUUUAAACGAGAUGAUAAUGACAGUAACGGGAAAAUAAGCGACGGCUAACUCCGUG
rnacentral:rRNA from 1 species